rnacentral:lncRNA from 1 species
AGGCAAAGGAACUACCAUAAUUAUAGAAAGUACAAAGAAAUAUAAAUGCUAAGACCAGAUUAACAGGCACUUCUUUCAGAUUUUCAUAAUAAUCAGGAAGGUUACUGUUUGGAUUAAAAUUUUUAAUCUAUAGUUUCAGCUCAAAGACCUCUUUUUGAAAUUUCAAAGACAAUUCCUUCUUCAUUUUAAGAGUAAUGGUGGAGAAACAAAGGAAGAUUUACGUCUUUCAUGUCUGGCUCCAUCUCUGCAUUGAAAUGUGAAAACUGUUGCUAGUCCACCUGCAAACAACUGUUUAUAUAUUCAACUCAUUCAUGUGAGUUAGACAACUGAUGUUCUGCAGACAGAUAAUAUUUAGCAUAAAUCACAGAAAAAGAGAAUGCAGUGGAAUGUGGCAAGAGCCUUAAGAAAACAACAUGUGACUCUGUGUACAACUGUGCUGGAGCAUCCCUUAUGUGCCCACUUCACAUAACCUGAGAAACAUCCAAUGAAGAACAAACAAUAAUUCAUAAAAUGUCUGUCUUUUCUUGUUUUUUGUUUUUGUUUGUUUGGUUUUUUUUGUUUGUUUGGUGUUUUUUUGGGAGACCCAAGAAACUUACACAUUCCUUCUUCAGCCUUCACAUCUGAGCAUCCUCUCUUAUGGAGAAAGGUUGAGGAACCCAGGUGUGAUUAGUUUGGAAGAGAGAAUGUUCCUAGGAGACAUCAUUGCUGCCUUCCAGUACUUAAAGUGAUCUUAAACAGGAACAAGGAUACAACUGUGAGGAGAAUGUCCAUACUUUACUAUCAAGUCAGAGCUUCUGUGCACCAAGAUUUUGCUGAUUCAGUUCCUUCCUCUGGGGAUUUGAAGCCAUGGAACUCUCACCUCUCCAAGACUGCACUGUUUCCUCUGAGCUGUUGAGGAUAAGCAGUAUAUUGUAAUUUUGUCUUGCUGUCAUUUUUCUGCAUAACACAAAGAUAUGAAGAUCCGCUGUGACCCAGCUCUCAUCUACAGUGUGGAACUAAAAAAAUAAGGAAGGUGAAGAUUCCCUUGAAGUUUUCAUUAUAUAUUUGAAUUUACAUUAAAUUAUUUAGAAACCCAUUCUGGAGGAAUCUUCAAUAAAAAUGAAGACAGAGGUCACAUAUGUAAAAUAAAAUAUAAAACUUGAUUUCUUGUCUUGUACCAUGGUUAAUCUCAUCCUGCAUGGUACAGAACAGAUAAUAUAACACCU